CUAAGGUUGCGCGGUUGCGACUUUGAGCCAGAAACUCUCUGACUCUCAUUUGACAUUCUCGCGCUCGCGACUUGGCAUGUCGCGCUCGCGACUGAUGCUUUGACAUUCUUUUUGUCUUCAUUUCCUAUGCAAUUAACUUCCUUUGCUCAUCAUGCAUGCAUCCAAUCAUUGUAAAACAAAAAUACAACAUAAGAACAUGGAUUAAAACAACAUGUAAGUAUUUAUAUGAUGUGAACUCAAAUCAAUAUGAUGAACUAUGAAGUUGUAAAACCAUUUAUGUGCUAUUGUGUUACAUUGUUGAUAUGCUAAUAUGAAGCUCCAUUGAGGUUGGGUAGAAACCAUGUAGAUAAGGCUAUGUCGCGACAUAGAAUAGCAGAUCUGCGCCCCAUACAGUUUGGAACUCCGACUACAGGCCGUUGAGUGGAUAUGAUUAUACAGGCCAUAGCAGCCAAGCAUACAGUAUUCAUAC
rnacentral:lncRNA from 1 species